rnacentral:rRNA from 1 species
UACAGAGGUGGCGAGCGUUGUUCGGAUUUACUGGGCGUAAAGGGUGCGUAGGUGGUUCUGCAUGUCAGACGUGAAAUCCCACCGCCUAACGGUGGAACUGCAUCUGAAACUGCAGGGCUAGAGUGCAGGAAGGGAGAGCGGAAUUCUUGGUGUAGCGGUGAAAUGCGUUGAUAUCAAGAGGAACACCGGUGGCGAAGGCGGCUCUCUGGAAUGUUACUGACACUGAGGCACGAAAGCUAGGGGAGCAAACAGG